ensembl:lncRNA
CAAAACUGCACAGAGGUGGAAUUGGCUCAAGUGUUCUAUAUUAUAUUGUCAGCCAUCAACUGUUAAAGAUUGUUCACUUUAACAUACUCUUUAACAUGAUCGACCAAUUAUUAAUGAGAGCAUGUGAUUAUCAUGACCAUAUUCAUCUGAAGGAAGAAAACCAUUACAGAACCACCCACCACAACAGGACCAAGCGGCAUGGUGACAGGCAGCGGCAGCAGGAGCAGCACAAGGAGGAAUGGACAUGGGAUGAUGUGUUGGACGGCAAGGGUUGCUACACAUGGGAGGAGAUCCUGGCGGGAAAGGAUCGACUCCCAUGGGAACAGGUGGAGGCAGCUAGGAGAGCAGAGGCAGCCGGAGAGAGGAGCCGGCGAUACGAGGGAACACGGCUGGCAAGGAAGCCCGAGAGUCAGCCCCAACAAUUUAUUGGGGGGAGGCACACAGGGAGUAUGGCGAAGCCAGGUAGGAAACCUACGCCAACCUCCUGUGCUUACCAGAGGGCGAGAGAGACCGGGCAGGCACCGUGUUAUGCUGUGGAGCGCACGGUGUCCCCAGUGCGGGUGCAUAGCCUGGUGCGGUACAUACCAGCUCCUCGUAUCGGCCGGGCUAGAGUGGGCAUCGAGCCAGAUGUCAUGAAGCCGGCUCUACGCAUCUGGUCUCCAGUGCGUCUCCUUGGACCGGCGUACAUGGCACCAGCCUUACGCAUGGUGUCCCCGGUUCGCCUGCACAGCCCAGUGCGGGCUAUUCCACCUCGCCGCACUGGCAGGUUGACCGGGAGCAUUCAACCGGGUAAGGUUGGGCAGGCUCGGUGCUCAAGAGCUCCAGUGCGCCCGCACGGUCCGGUCUAUCCAGUACCACCUCCACGCAUCAGCCCUCCGGUGGCAGCUCCCUGCUCUCGCCCUGAGGUGCGUGUCCUCGGCCCAGUACCACCAGUGCCUGCACCACGCACCAGGCCUACAGUGCACCUCGUCUGUCCAGCGUUGCCAGAGCCUUCCUCCUCUCCAACGCUAGCAGAGUCUCCCGUCUGUCCAGAGCCGCCCGAGUCUCCCGUCUGUCCAGAGCCGCCCGAGUCUCCCGUUUGUCAUGAGCCGCCAGAGUCUCCCGUCUGUAAUGAGCCGCCCGAGUCACCCGUCUGAUGAGCCGCCCGAGUCUCCCGUCUGUCAUGAGCCGCCCGAGUCUCCCGUCUGCCAGGAUCCGCCAGAGCCGCCAGUCUGCCAGGAUCCGCCAGAUCCGCCAGUCUGCCAGGAUCCGCCAGUCUGCCAGAAUCCACCAGAGCCGCCUGUCUGCCAGGAUCCGCCAGAACCGCCAGUCUGCCAGGAUCCGCCAGAGCCGCCUGUCUGCCAGGAUCCGCCAGAACCGCCAGUCUGCCAGGAUCCGCCAGAGCCGCCAUUCAGCCAGGAUCUGCCAGAGCCGUCAACCUGCCUGAGCUAUCUCUUAGUCUUGGGCUACCUCUCAGUCCUGAGCUCCCUAUCAGUCCUGAGCUAUCUCUUAGUCUUCAGCUACCCCUCAGUCUUGAGCUACCCCUCAGUCUUAAGCUACCCAUCAGUCUUGAGCUACCCCUCAGUUUUGAGCUACCCCUCAGUCCCGAGCUACCCCUCAGUCCCGAGCUACCUCAGUCCCGAGCUGUCCCUCAGUCUGGAGCUGCCCCUCAGUCCAGUGGGGCCCUUUGUUAAGGUUACUAGGCCAAGGUCGGCGGCUAAGUAAGCGGACUAAGACUGUGUUGGAGUGGGGACAACGUCCCGUGCCAGAGCCGCCACUGUGGAUAGACGCCCACCCAGACCCUCCCCUAUGGGUUUAGGUGUGCGGCCGGGAGUCCGCACCUUUGGGGGGGGGUACUGUCACGCCCUGGCCUUAGUUAUCUGUGUUUUCUUUAUUAUUUUGGUUAGGACAGGGUGUGACAUGGUGAUUACAUGUGUCUUGUUUUGUCUAGGGGUUUUGUAGCCUAUGGGGUUGUGUUCAGUUGAGUGUUCUAGGUAAGUCUAUGGUUGCCUGGAGUGGUUCUCAAUUUAUCGUUGUCUCUGAUUGGGAACCAUAUUUAGGCAGCCAUAUUCUUUAGGUAUCUUGUGGGUGGUUGUUCCUGUCUCUGUGUUUUGCACCAGUUAGGACUGUUUCGGUUUUUCCAUGUUUUCUUAUUUUGUAUAGUGUUCACGUUUUCAUCUUUCAUUAAAGAUGUUUAUAAAUAACCACGCUGCAUUUUGGUCCUCCUCUCCUCCCCAGGAAGAAAACCGUUACAGACUGACUGGUACGGAGGAGCCUCUGGGGCGAGACUGAACAGAGACAAGACAGAGGCCCAAUUUUUCGGACCGUGGGCAGACCCAGACUUGACCAGACUACCUCUGACAGUCAAAGUGACAGACAUACGGGCACUGGGGGUAAAGUUUGACCGGGGGGGGAGGAGGGAGCGGUAACUGGAGUGGGAUCCUGGGGACAGUAAGACAGAGACUGGGUUUUUGGGGACUGCGACAGCUGACUUUUGAGGGCAAGGUUUUAAUCAUUAAAGCUGUGAUUUUACCUGUGCUUUUAUUAAUCAGUUCUGUUUUUAUUCCCCCUCAAAGGAGUAUUUUAGACCUGGAGCGGAUGCUUUUUUACUUCCUGUGGGGAAGCAAGUGGGAGAGGCUGAGGAGGGAGGUGGUAAAGAGGCCCAGGUCCAAGGGGGGGAAAGGCUUGCCUGACCUCUACUUAUUCCUGGGCAGCCGCUACACAGCGUUACCUCUGACUCUUGCCACCUCCCCAGUCAACAACAAGACUCAGGCCCUCGCACGGUUCUGGCUGGGAUCUUACCUCAGGACUCUGAGGCUGAUCCCAGUCGACCUGCGAGCCCCAGUCUCUUUACUGCUACCCACGCACUACGUCCAGCUCCAGAAGUUUUUAAGACAUUUUAAACUGGAAAAAGAAACAGUCACGGUCUUAACUAAACACCGCUCUCUCCUCUCUCUUGUGCAAGAUCGGGAACCAGUGUGUCCAGUGCGCGCUAUAGGCGAGCCCACAACGGUUUGGCGCAACGUGGCCCAUCCUGCUCUCCUGAAUCGGCAUCGGGACCUGUCCUGGAUGGUCGCCCACGAGAUCCUCCCGGUGAUGGCCGUUAUGCACUCACGGGGCAUGGCGAGGACAUCCGCGUGCCCCCGACCAGGCUGCGGCCAAGAAGAGUCGGUGAGGCACAUGCUCUGGGAGGGCAGAGCUGCCAGGGACCUGUGGAAGGAAGCAGGCCCCCUGAUCACCCCGUGUCUGCCAGCAGGGGAGGACCUAACACCUCAGCUCGUGCUGUAUGGGGUGGGCCGAAGGCCUAUUCCAUCGAAGGCCUUCACCAAGUACUGGCCACCCUCACGUGCUUGAAGGAAGCACUGUGGUCCUCCCGCAACCUGCUGGUAGGGAAAAGCGUAGAGACCACCCCCCAGGCAGUGGCCAUGGUAGCCACGGAAGCCCUGGGGUGGUACGGAAGGAAGGGGGCCUCGACCUCAGGCGAAGGGUCCCCCACAGCAGGAGGGACAGUAAUUUAUUUAGAGGAGCAGGAUGAGGCGAGUUUGAUAAGGACUCACCCCGCUCCUGUACAAGGGACCGAAGACAGCCUUUUAACAAAGUGACUUUUUAACAUGUUUUUCAUGUCUUAAAAAUGUUUUACCUUUGUUAGAUCAUUAGUACACAUUUUAAAUGGC